rnacentral:rRNA from 1 species
AGUGAAAAAGAACCUGAAACCGUGUACGUACAAGCAGUGGGAGCACAGGUUUACCUGUGUGACUGCGUACCUUUUGUAUAAUGGGUCAGCGACUUAUAUUCUGUAGCAAGGUUAACCGAAUAGGGGAUGUCCAUCCAUGGCUGCGGAGGGCGCAAUAAAAUCUGCUCCAGCCGCCGCCGCGAUAACGGCCUGCUUGCCGAGGUUGGCCAGCGUCGCAUCGUUAUCCACUCCGUGUUCGCACAACACGCCGCAGU